UGCCAUGGAGACGGAUGCUGCGCAUCUCAGGGAAUGGGAUUAGCGGCGGAGACUGUAACUUCUCUCUGAUUGGCGGAGAGACAGUCCUUUCCCUAUAGCCUUUAGUCUACAAAGCUGCUUUUAGACAUUGACAUCAUUGUGGUUCCCUAGUUCCUGGAAGGAAUAGAACAGGACAAUGCUAACUAUUAAGCUUUUUUUUUUUUUUAAUUGUGGGUGGUAGGAUAACGGGAAAAUAGAAACAGAGGGGCCAGCUGGAUUCUGGGAAUUGUAGUUUUAACUCUCCCAGGCGCAGGCGCACUCUUCCCUGAGUCUGGGAUGCAUGGAGGCAGCUCCAGGGUUGAUGGGUCGGCUUCCAGAACCAGUCUCCAGGUACUGACUGACCCUGGCGUGUCUCCCUGGACAGGCCCUCCCGUACCCCAUGACAGGGUCCAGGUCCGAUGAGGGACUGGGUCUGGAUUAGGGGAAGGGGGAAAAAGAUAAGGAGGCGCUAAGAACUGAAGUUCCGAGCGUGGGGGGAGAUGAUCUGAUCCCGAGCAGCCCUUGGGGGCAGCCCAGAUGAGCCUGACUAUGAACUCAGGUUCUAUUUGAGUGGAGGAACCCCUAUGCGUGUGUGUGCAUGUGAGCCCGAAGCUCUGGGUACCCUGCGUGUGUGUGUCAGAAGCCCCAGAUAUCCAUAUGCGCAUGAGCAAGUGUAGGAGCCAGAAGCCCUGGGUACCAGUUUCUUUGCAUGUGUCACUCAAGAGCCUGGGUAUGCCGUCAGUAUACCUGCCCAAAUCCCUAACUGUGUGUGUCUGUCCUGAGCAUUUACUGGGUUCAUGUCUGAGUGUGUCAGUUAAGAGCCUCAAGGGUCAGGUCAAAUCACCAAGAUAUAUAUAUAUGUAUAUGUAUGUAUGUAUGUAUGUAUUUCCAUUUAACAAGAAUGUUUUAAAAGCACAGGGCUAAGUGCUGGGAAUAUAAAGGCAAAAACAGCAUCUGAAUGUGACAAUCAAGAGUCUCCCUGUGGCCCGUGUCUGCCAAGAGUCCCGAGUGCCUAUAUUUCUGUGUGUUCAGGAAGAGUGGGUAUUUGUGUCUAAGGGUAUCUGCCAAAGGCCCUGUGUAGUGGUGUCUCUGUGUGUCAAAGAAGAGACCUUAGCACCUGUAUACAUCAAUUUAGCUGUAGUUUCUUGUCCCAAUGUGCCCAUAUCUUUUUCUGCCUUAUAUCCCACAUAGCUCCUCACAUAUUUAGGGACCACAUUAAGAGAUGCUUUAAGGUUUAUGCAGCACUUUACAUGUUUUAUCUUAUUUGAUCCUCACCAUAGCUUAAGAGGAUAGUUGUUAUUGUCCUUGGUUUACAGCUAAGGAAACUGAGUGGUUUGAACCUUAUGUUGCAGUACUCUAAGCCAUGAUUGCUUCAUUGUUUGUUAAAUGACUGAAACUCAAAUUGUGACUAGUUCUUGACAUCAAACUGUGGGCAUAAAGCUGCUGCUUCCCUCCUGCUGACUUUAUCCCAUGUUUGUCCCCAACAGCCCUUGGUAUGGUGUACAGGGGCCCAUCCUGGGGCAUUAGAGUGAGGGGCUUCACCUUGGAAACAGAUUUGAGUUCCAGAGUAAAGCUUCUAGCUAAUGUGAGCUUGUUCUGAGCCUCCAUGGCCUAGUGGUGGGAUAGCACCCUAAGCAGUAGGAAUCCACUGUGGAAGAAACUCAUUCGCCAUGAGACCUUUGACCUGGACUUCAUAGCUGAGCCUGGUUACUGGCAUAAUGGAGCAGCUCCUGAAGUUGUUGGUCUGGGAGUAAUUCCUGACGCUGGAAACAGGACAGGAUGAAAACAUCAAGAAGAAGAGCAAUCCUUGGAGGAUUUGAUCCAGAUACUUGAGGAGAAAGUUCUGCCUUUGCAGGAUUCUGCCUUUCCCAAAGAGACACAGUGAAGGGUGGGAUCCUGGGAUCCUGAUGGCUAGAUCUCAGAUAUACAAACAUAGCCUUCGGGCUCUCGUAUAGUGGAAGACCUUUCGAUUUGGAGUCAGAAGACCCAUGUUUGAAUCCUGAUUUUGCUGCCUACUACAUAUAGGACCUGGGUAAGUUACUUUCCUUUCCUGUGCCUCAGAUUCCUCAGCUCUAAUAAGAGUUUGCACUAAAUGACACCUAAAACCCUUUCCACCUCCAAAUCUUAUUUUUUUUUUGUUUCUCAUUUUUACUACAUGACCAAUCUAUUUACUUUUCUGAUCAUCUAUGCCUAUGGAGAGGUCUUCUACAUCUCUUCUCAAACAGUAGUCAUGGUUGAUAAUAGGCUACAGGAUACCUAAACCCAUUGUGUUCUGAGAUUACUUGAAAUCUUAAUCCUCUGAAAUCAUGGUGG